rnacentral:rRNA from 1 species
UACGGGGGGAGCAAGCGUUGUUCGGAGUUACUGGGCGUAAAGAGUGCGUAGGUGGUGCCCUAAGUCUGUUGUGAAAUCUCCCGGCUUAACUGGGAGGGUGCGGUGGAAACUGGGGUGCUUGAGUGUGGGAGAGGUAAGCGGAAUUCCUGGUGUAGCGGUGGAAUGCGUAGAUAUCAGGAGGAACACCGGUGGUGUAGACGGCUUACUGGACCACGACUGACACUGAGGCACGAAAGCGUGGGUAGCAAACAGG